UAGCUGUAGCUGGAAUCGCACGUGUUGU
rnacentral:sRNA from 1 species